rnacentral:rRNA from 1 species
UNUGACUUGAGUGCAGAAGGGGAGAGUGGAAUUCCAUGUGUAGCGGUGAAAUGCGUAGAUAUAUGGAGGAACACCAGUGGCGAAAGCGGCUCUCUGGUCUGUCACUGACGCUGAGGCUNGAAAGCGUGGGUAGCGAACAGGAUUAGAUACCCUGGUAGUCCACGCCGUAAACGAUGAGUGCUAGGUGUUAGGCCCUUUCCGGGGCUUAGUGCCGGAGCUAACGCAAUAAGCACUCCGCCUGGGGAGUACGACCGCAAGGUUGAAACUCAAAGGAAUUGACGGGGGCCCGCACAAGCGGUGGAGCAUGUGGUUUAAUUCGAAGCAACGCGAAGAACCUUACCAGGUCUUGACAUCCCGAUGCUAUUCUUAGAGAUAGGAAGUUACUUCGGUACAUCGGAGACAGGUGGUGCAUGGUUGUCGUCAGCUCGUGUCGUGAGAUGUUGGGUUAAGUCCCGCAACGAGCGCAACCCUUAUUGUUAGUUGCCAUCAUUAAGUUGGGCACUCUAGCGAGACUGCCGGUAAUAAACCGGAGGAAGGUGGGGAUGACGUCAAAUCAUCAUGCCCCUUAUGACCUGGGCUACACACGUGCUACAAUGGUCGGUACAACGAGUUGCGAGCCGGUGACGGCAAGCUAAUCUCUGAAAGCCGAUCUCAGUUCGGAUUGGAGGCUGCAACUCGCCUCCAUGAAGUCGGAAUCGCUAGUAAUCGCGGAUCAGCACGCCGCGGUGAAUACGUUCCCGGGCCUUGUACACACCGCCCGUCACACCACGAGAGUUUGUAACACCCGAAGUCGGUGAGGUAACCUUUUAGGGGCCAGCCG